rnacentral:rRNA from 1 species
GACGAACGCUGGCGGCGUGCCUAAUACAUGCAAGUCGAACGAGAGCGCCCGGUGCUUGCACUGGUCAAUCUAGUGGCGAACGGGUGAGUAACACGUGGGUAACCUGCCCAUCAGAGGGGGAUAACAUCCGGAAACGGAUGCUAACACCGCAUAGGUCUUCGAGCCGCAUGGCUUGAAGGGGAAAAGAGGCGCAAGCUUCUGCUGAUGGAUGGACCCGCGGUGCAUUAGCUAGUUGGUGAGGUAACGGCUCACCAAGGCCGUGAUGCAUAGCCGACCUGAGAGGGUGAUCGGCCACAUUGGGACUGAGACACAGCCCAAACUCCUACGGGAGGCAGCAGUAGGGAAUCUUCCGCAAUGGACGCAAGUCUGACGGAGCAACGCCGCGUGAGUGAAGAAGGUUUUCGGAUCGUAAAGCUCUGUUGUUAGAGAAGAACAAGUGCUAGAGUAACUGUUAGCGCCUUGACGGUAUCUAGCCAGAAAGCCACGGCUAACUACGUG